rnacentral:rRNA from 1 species
UACGUAGGGGGCAAGCGUUGUCCGGAUUUAUUGGGCGUAAAGAGCGUGUAGGCGGCCAGGUAGGUCCGUUGUGAAAACUGGGGGCUUAACCUCCAGCUGUCGAUGGAAACCAUCUGGCUAGAGUCCGGAAGAGGAGAGUGGAAUUCCUGGUGUAGCGGUGAAAUGCGCAGAUAUCAGGAAGAACACCCGUGGCGAAGGCGGCUCUCUGGGACGGUACUGACGCUGAGACGCGAAAGCGUGGGGAGCGAACAGG